rnacentral:rRNA from 1 species
CUUGCUCCCUGAUGUUAGCGGCGGACGGGUGAGUAACACGUGGGUAACCUGCCUGUAAGACUGGGAUAACUCCGGGAAACCGGGGCUAAUACCGGAUGGUUGUUUGAACCGCAUGGUUCAAACAUAAAAGGUGGCUUCGGCUACCACUUACAGAUGGACCCGCGGCGCAUUAGCUAGUUGGUGAGGUAAUGGCUCACCAAGGCAACGAUGCGUAGCCGACCUGAGAGGGUGAUCGGCCACACUGGGACUGAGACACGGCCCAGACUCCUACGGGAGGCAGCAGUAGGGAAUCUUCCGCAAUGGACGAAAGUCUGACGGAGCAACGCCGCGUGAGUGAUGAAGGUUUUCGGAUCGUAAAGCUCUGUUGUUAGGGAAGAACAAGUACCGUUCGAAUAGGGCGGUACCUUGACGGUACCUAACCAGAAAGCCACGGCUAACUACGUGCCAGCAGCCGCGGUAAUACGUAGGUGGCAAGCGUUGUCCGGAAUUAUUGGGCGUAAAGGGCUCGCAGGCGGUUUCUUAAGUCUGAUGUGAAAGCCCCCGGCUCAACCGGGGAGGGUCAUUGGAAACUGGGGAACUUGAGUGCAGAAGAGGAGAGUGGAAUUCCACGUGUAGCGGUG